ensembl:lncRNA
CUUUUUCUUCAGUUCCAGUUUAAGUUUCAUGAUGUUUUUUCACCCGUUUCAGAGUUUAUAAUGGGUGUGUAUGGGACGGAAUGUUGGGGCUAGAGUGAGGCAGCUCAACUGCUAGAGUGAGAGGAGCAAAAAAAAUAAUCUUAAAAUCUUUUUUAAAACUGCUGCUGUGUCCGCAGCGUUUGCUCUACAGGUAUGAUUUUACCCUCAAAACGUAGCCAUGGCUGUCCUCUUUCAUCCAAUGUGUUUACUAUUGUACUAGGUGUUAUGGUUCUUUCAUAAAUGCCACCAAUGCACAGCCUCCUCCCUCCAACUCUUCCAUAGACUCUAAUGUUAAAAUGGCUCAGAAGGUUCGUUUGAAAAUCAGAAGAGCAUGGUGUCUUUCCACUGUCACCACGUCCAUAUAAUAAACUCCACAGACAUGAAAACUGAGAAUUUGGUAGACUAGACAUUGCUGUCGCUCACAGUGAAAGAAUUUUGUCAAUACGACUUUUACUUUUCAUUUGGGAACGAUUUGUUUCGGCCUGACUUUUCUGUUCAUUUUAAGCAGCAAAAUGAGGUGCAUGUCUGUGUACGUGUGUAUGGAGCCAUUGGGUGCGGUCACUAUAGCAACCAGGCUCACACCUGCCUGCUUAACGAGCUCUCUCUGCCACUCUGCCAAAAUUAAUCUUAAACACUUCUCUUUCAACUGCUGCUGUGUCCACAGUGUUAAAGCCAUCAUUUUACCCUCAAAACGUCGCCAUCGUUGUUCUUUUUCCAACAUCUUGUCUUUCAAAGCUCAGAG